GAUGAACGCUGGCGGCGUGCCUAAUACAUGCAAGUCGAGCGAACGGACGAGAAGCUUGCUUCUCUGAUGUUAGCGGCGGACGGGUGAGUAACACGUGGAUAACCUACCUAUAAGACUGGGAUAACUUCGGGAAACCGGAGCUAAUACCGGAUGAUAUUUUGAACCGCAUGGUUCAAAAGUGAAAGACGGUCUUGCUGUCACUUAUAGAUGGAUCCGCGCUGCAUUAGCUAGUUGGUAAGGUAACGGCUUACCAAGGCAACGAUGCAUAGCCGACCUGAGAGGGUGAUCGGCCACACUGGAACUGAGACACGGUCCAGACUCCUACGGGAGGCAGCAGUAGGGAAUCUUACGGAAUGGGCGAAAGCCUGACGGAGCAACGCCGCGUGAGUGAUGAAGGUCUUCGGAUCGUAAAACUCUGUUAUUAGGGAAGAACAUAUGUGUAAGUAACUGUGCACAUCUUGACGGUACCUAAUCAGAAAGCCACGGCUAACUACGUG
rnacentral:rRNA from 1 species